rnacentral:rRNA from 1 species
UACGAAGGGGGCUAGCGUUGUUCGGAAUUACUGGGCGUAAAGCGCGCGCAGGCGGUCCUUCAAGUCAGAGGUGAAAGCCCAGAGCUCAACUCUGGAAUGGCCUUUGAGACUAGAGGACUUGGGUACGGGAGAGGUGAGUGGAAUUCCGAGUGUAGAGGUGAAAUUCGUAGAUAUUCGGAAGAACACCAGUGGCGAAGGCGGCUGACUGGACAGUUACUGGACGCUGAGACGCGAAAGCGUGGGGAGCAAACAGG